CCUACGGGAGGCAGCAGUGAGGAAUNNUGCGCAAUGGGGGCAACCCUGACGCAGCAACGCCGCGUGAGUGAGGAAGGUUUUCGGACCGUAAAGCUCUGUCGAGCGGGAAGAAAUGCAUAGNNGCUAAUAUCCAUUAUGCUUGACGGUACCGUAAAGGAAGCACCGGCAANUCCGG
rnacentral:rRNA from 1 species